UACAUACUCCCUCCGUUCCGAAUUACUCGUCGCAGAAAUGGAUGUAUCUAGAUGUAUUUUAGUUCAAGAUACAUCCAUUUCUGCGACGAGUAAUUUGAAACGUAGGGAGUAGAUU
rfam:Triticum aestivum genome assembly, contig: Triticum_aestivum_CS42_TGACv1_scaffold_000188_1AL